GGAUGGGUGCGUAACGCGUAUGCAACUUGCCUGUUAGAGGGGGAUAACCCGGAGAAAUUCGGACUAACACCGCAUACACUCAUGAGAUUGCAUGAUCAUAUGAGGAAAUAUUUAUAGCUGACAGAUAGGCAUGCGUUCCAUUAGCUAGUAGGUGAGGUAAUGGCUCACCUAGGCGACGAUGGAUAGGGGAACUGAGAGGUUAGUCCCCCACACUGGUACUGAGACACGGACCAGACUCCUACGGGAGGCAGCAGUGAGGAAUAUUGGUCAAUGGGCGAGAGCCUGAACCAGCCAAUUCGCGUGAAGGACGACUGCCCUAUGGGUUGUAAACUUCUUUAGUAGGGGAUUAAAGUUUGCCUUGCGAGGCAAUUUGCAAGUACCCUAAGAAUAAGUAUCGGCUAACUCCGUGCCAGCAGCCGCGGUAAUACGGAGGAUACGAGCGUUAUCCGGAUUUAUUGGGUUU
rnacentral:rRNA from 1 species